AUUACAGGCGUGAGCCACCAUGCCCGGCCACGUAUCUGGGAGUUAAAACCACCAUAUCUGGGAGUUCUUGGCCAGGCCGUGUCAUAUUGUCAUUCCUGACAAUAGAGGAAGAUUAGAACUGCACCUGACAAUAGAGGAAGAUUAGAACUGCAUCAGAAUUUUGUUUUCUGGACCACACUAUUGCAGUCCCCAGAAGAGUGUCACGGGUCAGCCACUGCUGAACACAAGGAUGAGGACAGUCGGAAUGCUAAAUGCCCAGCCCAGCCCACCCAGCCCAGUCCAAAAGCAGCCUUUUUUUUCCUUUUUCUUUUCUUUUUUUUUUCUUAGUGAAAUAGUAACAGACUAUAGGGAGGCAAUAGCUGUCUCUGGGACUAUCAAGACACCAGCUCAGCUGCGCAGCAGACAAAUGUCACUUUUCUGAUACAGGUGGCCCUAAUCAGAGAGAUCCUACUACAGCUGGUGCUCAAAAAUAACCUUUCCCCCUCUCUGAUUUACCCAGGCAAGUGAAAGAAGACAGACUCCAGGAUUACAUUCUCCAGAGCAUGAGCUGCGUAUAUCACUCGCGAACCUUCCAGACAACUGAAGAAUAACAAUGAAUACUGCCAUCUUCCCAGAGCUCCAGCACUAAUCUUUGUUAAGGCUUAGAGGAAACCACUUUUCUCAGUUUUGAUGUCUAUGAAUCUGCAAUCACUAAUGAAUGGGGAAAAGUCUGUGAAACAUUUAUUUCCUACAUCAAUGAUUAAAAUUAGCUGUUUUUAGAGCAGAAUGAACAACAUACAAAGCAGGUUGGACGACAUCUAUUUCACACAAUUGCAUCUCAGUUUCUGACCUAGGUAAAAUCCUGCAUAAAUGUAGGAGAAUCCUCUAUAUUAAUAUGUUCUGUAUUCAGGUUUAAGAGAUGUGCAUUUACAUUUACAUUUUAUUAAUUCAUCAACUGAUACUUAAGAAUUAAAACUCUCAAAAUCAGAAGACGAUGCUUUUUGGUAAAGAAAAAAAGAAACAGGCUAUAAGUAAAAACAGGUAUAAAAAUUAACACAAAACCUUUGAGUAAUGUAUUUAUCCUAUAAGCGGAAAAUUCUGAGAAUAAUGGAGGACUGAGGGGAUUAAAAUGCCACGCAGUAGAUGGACUAUUUCAGAUUUUAUAGUCAGGGAAACUGGCUUCGGGAGGACAGCUCUCAAUUCAUGUACUUUACGUAAGAGCAGUUCUUUCUAUAGGCCAUAAAGUUGUAGGUGAUACAAUCAACUGGGUUAUAAAAUAGCUUCUUUUUAGAAUGGAGAUGAUACAAAAAUCAAUUUCUACAACCAUCAUUUCCUCCUGAACACCUCUUUCACUUUCAACCUAAACUUACUCUCCCCUUUGGGAAUUCCCAGUGUAUUUCUUUGAGAUGUCUUCCACAUUAACAGUAGAGCCUACAAAGAACCAACAUGCAGAGGCUACUUGUCAAAGGGCACUUUCUGUAGGUAGUCUAAAAGAACACAAUUAUACACAUACACAAACGUGUACAGGUAUACGCAAAAGGGAAAAGGAGAUGCAAGAGUACUGUACUACUGCUUUAACAAAUGCUCUCACCCAAUCCACCUUAUCCAUCUUACAGGAUAGAAACACUAUUUAGGGUUUAAAAUACGCAAAAAAACAUUUUUUUUAAAUAUAUAAACCAUCUAUGGAAGCAUAUUUUGCCUUCUGUUAUGACCCUCAUCAUUCCUCAACUCAUAUUCUAAAAGCCUGAGAGGUGAAAAUCUUCUGAACAGCUGAACCACCCACAGAACCUGAAAAUUAUUAUACAUUUUGCACAUGAUUAACCUAUAUUCACCACUGAGGUUUAACCAAGAACCAGAUUCACAUAGGUAAUAGGGGUCACAACUACUUUUUCAUAAAAUAUACCCUCCUACUGGCCAGGUGAGGUGGCUCACGCCUGUAAUUCCAGCACUUCAGAUUGCUUGAGCCCAGGAAUUCAAGACCAGUCUGGGCAACAUGGCAAAACCCUGUCUCUACUAAAAAUACAAAAAUUAACUGGGUGUGGUGGCACAUGCCUGUAGUCCCAGCUACUUGGGGAGGCUGAGGUGGGAUGGCUUGAGCCUGGAAGGUGAAGGUUGCAGUGAGCCAAGAUCACGACUUUGUACUUAAGUCUGGGCAACAGAGCGAGACCCUGUCUCAAAAAAAAAAAAAAAAAAAAAAAAAAAAUCUAUGCAUCCAUCUAUCUAUACAAACACACAUCCUCCUACUUUACAUAAAUGUACAAUUCCAUGUCUAUUCUUAGCAUGUUUUCAGUUAAAAUUAGAUUACUGAUGUUUACAAGAAGCACGGUCAAAUGAUUUUUUUCAUUUUAUGUCAAUGUUUACACGCCAACCCUCCAGAAGGUUGGGACAAUGGGAAGAGGGCAUUGGACUGGAUGUAAAGCCUGAGGCCAGGGGUCUAGUUUUGUUAGGGUCUAGAUUCUCACCCCAGAAUCUUACCCCCUCAGGCAAUCACUCAAAUUGAAAUAUCACUUCUAUUGGUCCUGAUACUCUACUUCAGUAGUUAUCUUACUUCUUCCUUUGAAUGUAAACCAUUUAUAGCUAAGUAGAGUAUAUUUUAGUAUAAGAACACAGUGAAGGCUGGGUGCGGUGGCUCACACCUGUAAUCCCAGCACUUUGGGAGGCCGAGGCGGGCGGAUCACGAGGUCAAGAGCUCGAGACCAGCCUGACCAACAUAGUGAAACCCCGUCUCUACUAAAAAUAUAAAAAUUAGCUGGGCGUAGUGGCGCGCGCCUGUAAUCCCAGCUACUUGGGAGGCUGGGGCAGGAGAAUCGCUUGAACCUGGGAGGCGGAGGUUGCAGUGAGUGGAGAUCGCAACACUGCAUUCCAGCCUGGGCGACAGGGCGAGACUCCGUCUCAAAAAACAAACAAACAAAAAACACAUAGUGAAGACCAAACAAAAUUUCAUCUGUACUAAUAAUGACUCACGGUGGGCCAGAGCUCAAGUCAGUAUGUAAUAAGAAAGCAAAGGGAAAAAAAAAAUCAUUUACUUCACUAAAACUUCUGUUGUUUCUUUAAAACUCUAAACAAAAUUGACCCUAUAAGUAAAGAUAUUCAUUCUUAUCAUUUUUUAACAAGCAAAUUUUAAUAAUGCCUUUUAUUUCUAUACAAAGCAAUGUAACUUUCU
rnacentral:lncRNA from 1 species